rnacentral:lncRNA from 1 species
GCCAAAUCCUGCCCUAAUUUACACCUGUGAGACCAAUGGGACUGCAGACAUGCACAUGAGAAUACAGCUAAAAGCAUGCUGAAGUUGUUUGCCUGUUUUGAAAAGUUGUGUGGAGGAUGACUGCUGAGAAAUGUCACUUAGGAUUAUAUCAUUCCUAAACCUGCCUCAGGGACCCCUCCCAGGAAGGUCAUGCUUGCAGCGAUGUGAAGAAAGGGCAGGUUUUGCCAGAGAGACCUCCAAGUGCACAUGCUGGCACACAGGCUAGAAUGUCACCUGCUGAAGUGACUGACAGUCCCUUUCACCCUGCUCUCUGCACCUCCCUCCCUGCCUGAUGGGAAGGUUGUUCCUCGGUUGCUGGAGUUCAUUCCUGUGUGCAGAACGCUGUUCAGUAGAGGAAGCUGGGGGAGGGCCAUCCUGCUGCCCCAGCUGGUGCUCCACCUAAGGCUUUUCCUGCACCUGUCUUCACAAGCAUCGGAGCUUUCGUGUUUCGUCUCUUUUUGUGGCCAGAUGAAGUCAUCUUGGAGCAUGGGUGCGGUGGUGAAAGACACACAGAGUGAAUUUACAUCUCUUGGAUAAAGGAGAAACCGAAGAAAGAUUUCCCCUGUGAGCUGGUUUUUAUCGUCAGUGUGAACAUCUUAGUCAGCACAAGCUCAGACUUCUAAAAUUGUGCAGCCGUGUGCUGUGAGAGCUACAGCCUCUGCAGCUUCCUGCUUCCCUGGAUCAGCCAAGGAUAAAGGCUCCAGGAUCUGGUGCUCCUCUGGCAGGAAUGGCUGAGCCCAGGCCAGGUGAGCGGCAGGCUCUGAAACUUUGUGUGUGACCCUGCUCCUCUGGAAUGUGGGAAAACACCCUUCCAUUUGAUUCCAACAAAUCACCUCAAGCCAGAUCCUGUAGCAUGUUGAGCAUCAGUGGAUAUAGAACUAGAGAACAGAAUUAGCUGGGAGAAUCCUAAUGUUUUGUGAAAUCAUUUCCAUGACACAGACGUGAUACCAGAGUGGGAUGCUGCAUGUUUAAGUACUCAAGUCUCCAGGAAGCAAGAAUAUGCAGAUACUCUGACUCACUAGAUGAAAAAUUACUUGUAGUGACUCAAACACUUGGAUGCUGUGGAUUCCUAAUUAAUCACUGUGCUCCACCAUGAGUCCAAAAUCCUCCUUUCAGGACCAGAGAAUGUUUGUGGCCUUGAGGAUUCCAGCUCUGGUGCAGCUGUCUAGGUGGACAGAUUAACCUCUUGCUGCCUGUCUGCCGUAUGGUCUGCAGACCUAAAUAAUUUCUGGGCUGUUAGCACAAAUGACCUGGUAGGCUCUGAAAGCUUGAUGAUGGUAGUUUUGCCUAAAAGAGGGACUUAACAGGGAACACUUUAUUGGGGUGCCCAUGUGACUUGAGGAAUCCCCAGGAAGGUCUGCUGCAGGUUUGGCAGCAAUCUCACGGUCAAGGGGCUGCAGAC